rnacentral:rRNA from 1 species
AUUGAACGCUGGCGGCAGGCCUAACACAUGCAAGUCGAACGAGUGGCGGACGGGUGAGUAAUGUAUGGGAAACUGCCCGAUGGCGGGGGAUAACUACUGGAAACGGUAGCUAAUACCGCAUACCAUCGGAUGUGCCCAUAUGGGAUUAGCUAGUAGGUGGGGUAACGGCUCACCUAGGCGACGAUCCCUAGCUGGUCUGAGAGGAGGACCAGCCACACUGGAAAUGAGAGACGGCCAAGACUCCUACGGGAGGCAGCAGUGGGGAAUAUGGGACAAUGGGCGAAAGCCUGUUGCAGCCAUGCCGCGUGUAUGAAGAAGGCCUUCGGGUUGUAAAGUACUUUUAGCGGGGAAGCGUUACUCGCAGAAUAAGCACCGGCUAACUCCGUGCCAGCAGCCGCGGUAAUAC